rnacentral:rRNA from 1 species
AUUGAACGCUGGCGGCAUGCCUUACACAUGCAAGUCGAACGGCAGCACGGGUGCUUGCACCUGGGGGCGAGUGGCGAACGGGUGAGUAAUACAUCGGAACAUGUCCUGUAGUGGGGGAUAUCCCGGCGAAAGCCGGAUUAAUACCGCAUACGAUCUACGGAUGAAAGCGGGGUACCUUCGUUCCUCGCGCUUGAGGGUUGGCGGGUGGCUGAUUAGCUAGUUGGUGGGGUAAAGGCCUACCAAGGCGACGAUCAGUAGCUGGUCUGAGAGGACGACCAGCAACAGUGGGACUGAGACACGGCCCAGACUCCUACGGGAGGCAGCAGUGGGGAAUUUUGGACAAUGGGCGAAAGCCUGAUCCAGCAAUGCCGCGUGUGUGAAGAAGGCCUUCGGGUUGUAAAGCACUUUUGUCCGGAAAGAAAUCCUUGGCUCUAAUACAGUCGGGGGAUGACGGUACCGGAAGAAUAAGCACCGGCUAACUACGUG